UACGGAGGAUCCAAGCGUUAUCCGGAUUCAUUGGGUUUAAAGGGUGCGUAGGCGGAAUUGUAAGUCAGUGGUGAAAGCCUGCAGCUUAACUGCAGAAUUGCCAUUGAUACUGCAAAUCUUGAGUACAUUUGAUGUGGGCGGAAUGUGUCAUGUAGCGGUGAAAUGCUUAGAUAUGACACAGAACACCGAUUGCGAAGGCAGCUCACAAAACUGUAACUGACGCUGAGGCACGAAAGCGUGGGGAUCGAAUGGG
rnacentral:rRNA from 1 species